UACGUAGGGGGCAAGCGUUGUCCGGAAUCAUUGGGCGUAAAGCGCGUGUAGGCGGCCCGGUAAGUCCGCUGUGAAAGUCGGGGGCUCAACCCUCGAAUGCCGGUGGAUACUGUCGGGCUAGAGUGCGGAAGAGGCGAGUGGAAUUCCUGGUGUAGCGGUGAAAUGCGCAGAUAUCAGGAAGAACACCCGUGGCUAAGGCGGCUCUCUAGUACGGUACUGACGCUGAGACGCGAAAGCGUGGGGAGCAAACAGG
rnacentral:rRNA from 1 species